rnacentral:rRNA from 1 species
GACGCUGGCGGCGUGCCUAAUACAUGCAAGUCGAGCGGACAGAAGGGAGCUUGCUCCCGGAUGUUAGCGGCGGACGGGUGAGUAACACGUGGGUAACCUGCCUGUAAGACUGGGAUAACUCCGGGAAACCGGAGCUAAUACCGGAUAGUUCCUUGAACCGCAUGGUUCAAGGAUGAAAGACGGUUUCGGCUGUCACUUACAGAUGGACCCGCGGCGCAUUAGCUAGUUGGUGGGGUAAUGGCUCACCAAGGCGACGAUGCGUAGCCGACCUGAGAGGGUGAUCGGCCACACUGGGACUGAGACACGGCCCAGACUCCUACGGGAGGCAGCAGUAGGGAAUCUUCCGCAAUGGACGAAAGUCUGACGGAGCAACGCCGCGUGAGUGAUGAAGGUUUUCGGAUCGUAAAGCUCUGUUGUUAGGGAAGAACAAGUGCGAGAGUAACUGCUCGCACCUUGAGGGUACCUAACCAAAAAGCCACGGGUAAUUACUUGCCACAACCCGCGUAAUACGUAGGUGGCAAGCGUUGCCGAAAUUAUGGGAAAGGGCUCCAGG